GCCUCUGUAGCAUAGUAGCUAUUGCGGCUGCUUCGUAAGCAGCAGGUCGAGGGUGCAACUCCCUCCAGAGGCU
rnacentral:tRNA from 1 species